rnacentral:rRNA from 1 species
UACGUAGGGGGCUAGCGUUGUCCGGAUUUAUUGGGCGUAAAGAGCGUGUAGGCGGCCAUGUAGGUCCGGUGUGAAAACUCGAGGCUUAACCUCGAGAUGUCAUCGGCAACCAUUUGGCUAGAGUCCGGAAGAGGAGAGUGGAAUUCCUGGUGUAGCGGUGAAAUGCGCAGAUAUCAGGAAGAACACCCAUGGCGAAAGCAGCUCUCUGGGACGGUACUGACGCUGAGACGCGAAAUCGUGGGGAGCGAACAGG